CAGUCGACGAUGAAGCUUAGCUUGCUAGGUGGAUUAGUGGCGAACGGGUGAGUAACACGUAGGUAAUCUGCCCUGCACUUUGGGAUAAGCCUGGGAAACUGGGUCUAAUACCGAAUAGGACACACUAUCUUUACGGUGGUGUGUGGAAAGCUUUUGCGGUGUGGGAUGAGCCUGCGGCCUAUCAGCUUGUUGGUGGGGUAAUGGCCUACCAAGGCGUCGACGGGUAGCCGGCCUGAGAGGGUGUACGGCCACAUUGGGACUGAGACACGGCCCAGACUCCUACGGGAGGCAGCAGUGGGGAAUAUUGCACAAUGGGCGAAAGCCUGAUGCAGCGACGCCGCGUGGGGGAUGAAGGCCUUCGGGUUGUAAACUCCUUUCGCUAGGGACGAAGAGUUACAUUGACGGUACCUGGAGAAGAAGCACCGGCUAACUACGUGCCAGCAGCCGCGGUAAUACGUAGGGUGCGAGCGUUGUCCGGAAUUACUGGGCGUAAAGAGCUCGUAGGUGGUUUGUCGCGUCGUCUGUGAAAUCCCGGGGCUUAACUCCGGGCGUGCAGGCGAUACGGGCAUAACUUGAGUGCUGUAGGGGAGACUGGAAUUCCUGGUGUAGCGGUGAAAUGCGCAGAUAUCAGGAGGAACACCAAUGGCGAAGGCAGGUCUCUGGGCAGUAACUGACGCUGAGGAGCGAAAGCAUGGGUAGCGAACAGGAUUAGAUACCCUGGUAGUCCAUGCCGUAAACGGUGGGCGCUAGGUGUAGGGGACUUCCACGUCUUCUGUGCCGCAGCUAACGCAUUAAGCGCCCCGCCUGGGGAGUACGGCCGCAAGGCUAAAACUCAAAGGAAUUGACGGGG
rnacentral:rRNA from 1 species